rnacentral:rRNA from 1 species
GUCUCUUUGAUUUUAUUUAAUAAAGAGUCGGGCCUGCUCGGUGAUUAAUAUUUAACAGCUGCGGUAUUAUAACUGUACUAAGGUAGCAUAAUAAUUUGCUCUAUAAAUUGGGGCUAGAAUGAAUGGUUUGACGAAAAUUAAACUGUCUCUAUUUUAUUUAUUAGAAAUUAAUUGUUAUAGUGAAAAAGCUUAAAUAAUUUAAAGGGACGAAAAGACCCUAUUGAGCUUAUAUUAAUAGGUGAAUAGAAUAAUGUUAUGUAUUUAUUAAGUAUAUUAAUUUUGGUUGGGGUGAUCAAGGAAUAAUAAAUAAUAUAUAUAUAUAAUAACUUCCUUAGAUAAUAUUAUUGAUAGGUGAAUAAACCAAAUUUGUUGCUUAUAAGAUAAGUUACCAUAGGGAUAACAGCGUAAUUUUUUUUGAGAGUUCAUAUUGAAAAAAGAGAUUGCGACCUCGAUGUUGGAUUAAAAUAACCUUAAGGUGUAGAGGCUUUAUUAGGUGAAUCUGUUCGAUUUUUAAAAUUUU